GAUGAACGCUGGCGGCGUGCCUAAUACAUGCCAGUCGAGCGAACAGACGAGGAGCUUGCUCCUCUGACGUUAGCGGCGGACGGGUGAGUAACACGUGGAUAACCUACCUAUAAGACUGGGAUAACUUCGGGAAACCGGAGCUAAUACCGGAUAAUAUAUUGAACCGCAUGGUUCAAUAGUGAAAGACGGUUUUGCUGUCACUUAUAGAUGGAUCCGCGCCGCAUUAGCUAGUUGGUAAGGUAACGGCUUACCAAGGCAACGAUGCGUAGCCGACCUGAGAGGGGGAUCGGCCACACUGGAACUGAGACACGGUCCAGACUCCUACGGGAGGCAGCAGUAGGGAAUCUUCCGCAAUGGGCGAAAGCCUGACGGAGCAACGCCGCGUGAGUGAUGAAGGUCUUCGGAUCGUAAAACUCUGUUAUUAGGGAAGAACAAAUGUGUAAGUAACUAUGCACGUCUUGACGGUACCUAAUCAGAAAGCCACGGCUAACUACGU
rnacentral:rRNA from 1 species